AGGCUAAUCAAUGAACAACGGUUGUCUAACCAAUCAGCUGUGUUAACGCGUCUCCGUAGGCGCGCUUCUUUAGCACACCGGUGUAGCCAUUUUUUUCACGACCGUGAAGCAGCUAACUGAGGCUUUCUACAACACUGAUUCAAGGAUGGUCAAGAUCUUCAUUGGGAACCUCCCUCGGGAGGCAGACAAGGAUGAAAUUCAGGCGUUGUUCUCCCAGUACGGUGCCGUCACAGAAUGCGCCAUCGUCAAGAAUUUUGCUUUUGUCCACAUGGAUGACCGUAAGUCUGCCACCAAAGCCAUCCGCAGCCUGCACCUCUACAAGCUGCAUGGCACGGCGAUAAAUGUCGAGGCUAGUCGCGGGAAGAACCAGGGAUCAGUCAAACUUCACGUGACAAACGUGGAGAAAGGCAACGAUGAUGAGCUCCGCACUCUGUUCGAAGAGUAUGGCACAGUUUCUGAAUGUGCUAUUGUCAAAAACUUUGCGUUUGUACACAUGGACAACUCUGAUGAGGCUAUGGAUGCCAUCAAGGGAUUAGACAACGUCGAAUUCCAGGGGAAACGUAUCCAUGUUCAGAUAUCCAAGAGCCGUCCCAGGUACGAGGAGGAAGAGGACUACCCCCCACCCCCACCUGAGAGGGGGGGAUACUGGCCCCCCCGUGGCUACCCCGGGGAGAGGCAUGAUCCUCCACCCCCCAGCUAUUUAAGAGGUCGUCACCCACCCCCUCAUCACGGGUACCCUGUCCCCCCUCCACCACCCCCUCCCCCUAGACGGGCCCCAUACCCAGAGCGUGCUUAUGAGCGCGAGAGGCAGAGCUAUGCCGUGGUGGAUUACUAUGAGAAAUACAGGGCUCGUCCUGCCCCUUAUGGCAUAAUGUCCUAUGAUGAGAGGCGUGUAGGCUCCUUACCCCCUCCUCCCCCCCCCCCUCUUCCAUGGUCAGGGAGCGUUUCAUGACCUCCGGCCUCGAUCCAUAUGAGCGUCGCCCCCUCCCUCCUCCCCCCUCUGCGUACUACGCCAGGGACCGCAGUCCCAUUCGGAGGGCCCCUCCUCCCCCCAUGCCCCCUGCCGGUAACGGUUACUCCUAUGAGCGUUCCCGACUCUCCCCCAUCUCUCGGCCCGCGAUGUACAACCUACCCCGUACCAGGGACCCCUACGCCGACAGGUUGCCUCCGCCGCCAGCGGCUCGCUAUUACUAAGCGGCGUACACCGGCGUUUGACUCAAGGUUUAAAUAUUUCAACAAGAUCUGCGUCCUCGUCGUCGUCUCCUGAUGCACACAGCAAUUUACCCCCCUCGUCUGUGGCUGAGCGCGUUUCGUUCUCAGGAGGAAUUGUAAUGCAUGACCUCUCGUCAUUUAAAACCCUUUUAUUACACUUGUAUUGUUUCCUCUUUUUUUUUUUUUUUGGCAUUGUUUUAGUAUUGUGCUUUAGCUAGGUUUUUAGUCUCAGGCUCCCAGAAGCCAUUUAGUUGUGCGUUUUUAUUUUACGUUAACAUUAUUUUGUCCUCUUGAUAUACUGUAACGUGUCAUGAUACAAACUUUUUGCUCUAAACUCUAAUUUCUGAAAUUUAAUGAUUGAAAGCUGCAACACGUUAUUACGAAAAGGAUGUUAAUAAUCGUGAUUUGAAUAUGAAAACGUGUUUCCUUUUAAAUUUAAACCAGCAUGGUUGUUCAAUCUAUCGUCUGAAAUUAUGCCAAGUUAUGGAUUAUGAAAAGGUAGCGCUCUGCGACAAUGUACAACAGCAUAAUAAACCACUACGAUGGACUAGUUGGUUAAUUUGUUAGUUGGACAAAUAUUUGCUGAAUGUAGCGAGUUACACUAAGGAGGAUAACGUUCUUAUUUGUAAUCAGGACUUGAUUUUAAUAAAACUGAAUUGUAUAGGCA